rnacentral:tRNA from 1 species
GACUGUGUGGCUCAGUCAGAAGAGCAUGGUGCUUUCAACACCAAGGGUUGUGGGUUUGAUUCCCUCUGGGGCCA